rnacentral:lncRNA from 9 species
GGCCGCCGCCCAGCGGAUCUGUCAGCAGGACCCCCCGCCUGGGGCCGCGGACCGGGCGCGGUCGGGCUCGGCGGGCCGUGGCUUCUUGACAGGAGGAGGGGGACAAGCGCCUCCUCCUCCAUUGCCGAACCGAGCCCUCUUUUAUCGCAAUUUUCCCGGCCCGCUGACAGCCGUCUUCCAGUGACAAGAAACUUAAGGUCGGCGAAAAAUUGAGGACCCGGAGCAGCGGGUGCCUCUGGUCCGACGUACGACCGUGCCGUGCCCUCCGCGGGACCCAGCCGUGUUUUGACCUUUAGGAGAGAGCCAAUUCUGGAGAACAACCUAACUUCUUUGAUUGAACAUUCACAUAAUGCAAUGGAACAUGAUAGGAGAUUAAGGUAUACUAAUGAAUUUUUAAAGCAUACGAUUUUAUAUCUUUGCAAUAUAAUUGAACUAGACAUUUGGUAAAGUUAGAACUUUUAGGUGAGCUAAAUUCAAUAAAGAUUUAUUGAUUAACAGAAGUUAUUCAGUGAAGUGGCCAAGGUUGAGCUUUUCUUGCUUUAUUAAAGCUUCAGAUUUUUUUAUGCAGUUGAUGUUCUUAUCCUGUAUGGGUCCAGCUCCAAAUGAGUUUAUUUAUUCUAAGAAUAAAUAUAUGUUAUGAGUUUUUUCUUAAGUUUGUUACUACAGUGUUAUAUGUUAAAUAAUUAAGUAGUAGAUUUUUCAUGUUAUAAAAUAGAUGGUUUAAAUCAAGUGAAAUUUGGUGCUUCAUUCUUUGAUAGAUAUAGUGGUAGAUAGAGCCUACGAAAUUUGAUAAGAUUAGUGAGAAUAUUUUAAGAGAACUUGAAAUAUUCCAAGUACUAUCCUAACCAAAACAGCAAUUUGGUUGAAACUGAAAAACGCACUUUCUAAAGCAGAAACCAGUAUCUUACUCAUAGGUACUCUGAGUAAAAUAUUUAAAUUGUUCAUAUCAAAAGUUGUAAACUCUUUAAAAAUAAACUGUAGAAUUCCAAAACUUCUAAUGACUUGUCUUUACCUCCAGAAUACUUCAUCACAGAAUCACUUUUCCAGCAUAUUUACUUUAAAAUAAAGUUUAUUUUAUAAUUUUAGUUGAAAAUUUCAGAUACUUAGCUAAUAAAAAUUUCAGCUGCUUUCUAAAUUGUAAUCUGGUGUAAUGAAAACUCAUUUAACAGUAUUACUAAGUAUUACUUGAUUAAUUUUUGAAUAGUAAAGUAUUAAUUACAUGAUAAAGUAUUAACUAAAUGUGUUUUUUAAAACUAUUUGCUAAAUAAAGUGAAUUUGACUAAAAUAUACUAUAAUUUUUUCUUUACAUUUUUUUACUAGCAUUUAUUUUAUAUACUUAAGAUAUAGGAAAUCACAAAGGUUUGUUUUCAUAAGAAAAGUGUAAUUUAGUCUUAAGAGUCAAGUGUAUUUAUCACUUUGGUCAUAGAAUUGCUUUUAUCUUUAAAUAGUGUUAAAGGAUUUUUUUUCCAGCAAAUUCUUAGAUGUGUGUUUAAGAAUGUUUGAACAUUGAGAUAUAUAUCAAAAUACUUAAAAAUCAGAUAUUUCUGUUAUUAGCUAUUAGAUAAUCUAGGAAUGUAAAUCUGUUAACAGUUAAGUAAAAUGUUAAAAUUUAAUAGAAAUCAGUUUUAUAUAAGUGAAGUUCAGAUAUUAGUGUCAUGAUACUGUAAGGCAGUUGUUUGAUACAAGCUAUAAAAAGUUUUCAUAACUUUGAUUUAAGAAUGUUACAGAAAGCAGCUUAGUUUGAAUAGGAUGAGAACAGAUACAAUUUUUUCUCUGUAAGUGAUAUUUUUCAGGUUAAAGAACAUUAAGGUGAAAAGUAAAAAAUAUGGUUUCUCAGUAUCUGGAAAAAAAAAAUCUAGGUUCAUUUUGUCACUUUCAGUCCAGAUAUCUUUAGACACAGCCUUAAUGAGUCAAAGGAGGGAAGAGAUACAGCUUUUGAAUUUAUGUUAUAGAAAAAGACUUAAGUCCACAGAGUUGUUCCUCAUUAAGAGAGUUUAUGAUUUGUGAUCUCUGAAGUUGUCGAAAUGUUGUUUGGACACAAAUAUUUAGCAUCAUAAAAUUGUCCCUUAUAUAGCUUAUAAACUUCCAAAUUUUUAGUGAAUAAUUUAACACCUAAAAUAAUUGAUGCCGAUAUUAACAGUUUUCUUCUAUUGGUCAGCUCUUACAGAGUGAAAAACUUUAACCUAAUUAGUAGUGUAUGUUAUUUUAGAAGACAGGUUAAUAAGGGCUUUUACUGCUAUUAUGUGAUUGACUGUUCCUUAACUUACCCCAUAAAGGACAUUUUGUAAGGAUUUUGGCUGUUUUAAAUUUACAAACCUGUUUAUCUGUGUCUAACUAAGUUUUAAUAUGUAGUUCAUUAUGACAGGAUUUGGGGGAAAGCACUUACUGUGUUAUAUUUUUUUCAGUGCUAGAUUUUUAUCUUAUUUGUAUAAUAUUUAUAUUUUUGGUUAAAUGCAUUUUCAGGGUUAAAUAGCAUUCAUUUUCAGGAAAAUUCUCUGUUGUUUCCCAAAUACAGUUAUGCUGUCUGUGUUCUAGUUUUACUGAAAUAGUUAUCCUUAGGGGGAAAGAAUAUUUGGAUAAACUAGAAUAGAGGUAAUUUAACACAUCUACGUAUGAAGGGACUUGAAAUUAUUCAUUGUCACUGAUGAAUAAUGCUAGUUUAUAAAGACAACUUAUAUUUUAAACAGUUUAUCAGCUAUAAGAGUUUUCUUUAUUAGAGGUUUUAUAGUGUUGCUGAGGAUUCAUUGAAGAGUAGAUAGAUACAGUUUCUUAAUGAAGAAGCUUUAAAUGUUUGAAGCAGUUUUGUACAUGUACUUUAUGGGUUUUUUUGAUUAGUGAAUAGAUCAUUAAUCUUUUUCAGUUUCUUCAAAUAAGACCUAACACAUCAGACUUAAAUUUUCUGAUAAGGAUUUUCAAAGGGCAAUAUUUAAUUAAUGUGAAGAUUCAAUUUUUCAUUUAAUGUCAUUUUGAAGUAAAAUAUCAGUUCUCAGCACCACAAACCCCCACUUUUGUUAUUUCAUUAACAUAUAUGAUUUGGCUUAGUUUUACUUUCCUAUUUUCAUGGUUUGAGUCACUUGGAAGAGAAACAUGUAGCAUGUUUCAGAUGUAGUUGCUGAGGCUCAUCCUCUGGUUAAUAGUUUGUUACUGUUUCUAAGUUUCUUAAUUUUUUUUAAAUCCUUUUUUGAUUUUGCUCUUACUCUUUUAUUGUAUAACUUUCAUAGUAAACAAAUAUAUUUAGUAAUAUUGUUAUCCUGUGUUCUUCAGAAUUGUCUUUUUAAUUUUUAUUAUAACAUUGUUGGUUCAUUAUUGAGCUAUUGCUGAGUAGAAAACGGUUUUUCAAUUUUGAUAAAAAUUAAAGAUUGGGGGUUUUUAGCAAAAUAUCUGAAUUUUAUUUAUUUAAUAUUAUUGUAUUUUAUACUUUUAUUUAAUUUCAAACCUAACCUUCUUGACUAGCUGUUAUUUAAACUUAGCCACCAGUUCUAGCAUUUAAAAAAGUAAUUUACAGAUGUCCUAAUUUUUCUGACUUAUAAAUUAUUUUUCAGAAUCAAAAAUUGCUUAAGGUGUUUAAGAAUAUCUUUUAAAUUUAAAGUUAUAAGUCCAUAGAUGAAAUUACCUUUAAGUUUAAAGAUAAUUUGAUGAACAAAUACUUACAUUUCUGUUAGUGGUCAAUUGAUAUUAGGUACUUACUAAGUUUUUAGCUUUGUGUUACACAUUCAAAGUAGGUAAAUUACUUGUGGAAAUUUUUUUUAAUAAUUGAAAUUUUUGUAAAAGCUUUAUGGGCUAAAAUCGUAUUUAUUUGCUAAUAAUGUCUGAUGUCAAACUUGUGAUGUGAUUAGAUAUGUUGAAGCUGGGAGACUGGAGCUUUUUAUAAGCAUAAUAUAGUUUUGUUGCUUGAUUAAAGUUUAGAUACCUAGAUAUUUUCCAGUAUAGCUAGGGAACAUACUUUUUAUGAAUUCACCCUAAACCUGGUUAAAAUUCUUCUGAGAAUUUUGAUAAUUGAACAGUUAAAUCUAAACUAGGAGCUGAAGUGUGUCAUUACAUGUGUCAUUAAUUAUUUAACUUAGAUACAUUAUAGGUUCCCUUUCUAAUCAAAACACCAAUUUUGUCUUUUCUUCUCUCUCCACCUCACUUUUUAAAGAAAAAAAUCCUUAAAUAAUUUUAUCAUGUAGUGAUACAAGCAGAACUUCUGGGUAGGGAGGUUGAACUCAACCACUUUUUUCCUUUGUGUGUUAGUUGCAUGUGAUUUUCUCAGCUUGCUGCUUCAGUAGCAGCAACAGUGAAUAAACAAGUAUCAUCAGAGCCCUUGUUCUUGCUUCUUACUUUUGGGAACAGGGGUUGGGAGAUUGCUGCUGCUUGUCAGCUGUUGUUCAAAAUAGCAUCAAUAUGCUGUAGUGGUGGCCAAAGCAGCCUGCACCCACUAGCUUUUAUAGACCAGGUGGAAAUGGCCCAACUGUCAGUGUAAUACAUAUAUAGUAUAAUGAAUACGUUCUUUGACAAAAAGGUAUUUUCGUCCCAAAGCAGCUAAAAGAGAACAGUAGAUACUUUUAAUUCUUAGUUUCUUAUUAUUUUUUACUAUUUACUGUGUGGUUUUUAGUUCAUUUAAUUUUUAUAUAGUUAAUUCCAUGUUUGAAUGGAAAACUAUCUUGCUUCCAAAAGUAUAUAUAUGUUUCAUGCUUUUUACUUUUAAGCUGGUAGGCUGAAAUAAAUUAUUCAAUAAUUAGUGCUGAUAACACAAGUUAGAUAAUACAUUGGUAAUGGCAUUAGGGAAAGAAAAGCUGACUGUGGCCACAUAGGCGUGUUUCUUUCACUUUGGGAUCAUAUUCUAAAUUCGUGUUAUCUUUAUUUUAUAGCUCAGUUUAAAAGGCCAAAUUUUUAAUUGAUUUAACUGUAACUAAAAAGAACAAAAAUCUAUUACUACCUGAUGUUGUAUAUAAUUAAAGACAAAGCAGGCUGUAGAUGGAAAUUCAUAAAUCUUUUUCUCACUAUUAAAAUAAUGUCUUCUAUCUGAACUUUAUAUCUGGGAAGUUCAGGUUAUUCUAAAUCUUUUGAAAUAGGACUGUAAUUUACAAUAGCAUGGAGUGUUUUGAUUUUUAAGAAUUUGAAUCUGUAUAGAUUUACAUAACCUAAAUAUCUGUGUAUUUUUCUCCUCUUUUGUAUCUAAAUUCCAAUAGGUUGUAGUUAGGGGGAAGUGAAUAUUGGAUUUCUGUUAAAGUUGUGAUUUCAUUUUUAGAAUUUUUGGUGGAAAACCGCAAAUGACAUUUCUAGUGUGUAAUCCUAAUGCCCCAAUUUAGAGUUCAACAUUUGCAAUAGUAUUCUUUUAAACAGAGGUAACAAUGGGGUGUUUUUUGGUUUGUUUUGGGAUUUUUCCUAAUACUAGAGUAUUAACAUCUUUAAUAUGUUGAUAUAAUUUAACAGAUACCAUUAAUUACUGAUACCUACUCUUAAUCAAAACAGUGAGUUACAUAAUGCUUUAUAUUGAAAACACCUUAUUUUUACUACUAAUUACUGUGUAAAGCACCUGUGGAUCACCUGUACCAGAAUAACCUAGAAUAAAGCAUUUUUCCAGACCUGAUGAAUCAGAAUCUCUGGGGAUGGACUUAAGUAUUUAUGUUUAUAACAAGUGAGUUUUUCCUAGAAACCCCACAUGUGAGAACACUGCCCAAAAUGAAUUGGGAAAGGAUUCUCCACACCAAUAAACCAUCUACAUUUUCUGCCUUUUUUUCCCUCUUUGGUCAUCAUGGGUCUAAUCUCAGUAACUAAUUAUGAAUUUUAUCACUUCUAACAGUAAUUCUAGGAUAAGUCUUGGUAGUUCUUCAGUCAUAUAAGGAAAAUCUAUAUUAUGAGAGCUUUAUUUUAUGCAAAAGUGCCUUGGACCAAAUUUUAAGUCUAUUUGUUUAGAACAGUUAAUAUACUAUUAAACCUAUACUUGAAGCAAACAGAAGGAAUUGAUCACUUAAGAAUUUUUUAAAUUUUCGUUUAGAUGGUAGCUGUUUUUCUUAAGUAUACUUCCAAAUACAUAUUGGAGAAAAUACAGAAAGGAGAGUUUUUCAUAUGCUGCUUAUAGGAGCAUUUGGCAAUAUCCUAAAGUGGAAGAUAUACAUAGGCUCUAACCCAGCAAUCCUAUUCCUAGAUGUUCUAGAUAAACUCAGACAUUCGUGAAAAAGUCUUAUUUAUUUUUACUUCUAAUAGGAAAAAAUUAAAAGUAAUGUAAAUAUUAGGCAGUGAGAGAAUGUAAAAUUGUGACUUAGUCAUGUGAUAAAAAUGUUAUACAGUUGUAAAGUGAGAUCUGUGUGUAUCAUCAGAGAUGAACGCUUUACUUCAGCAAACAGAAGCUAGUUGCACAAGGUCAGAUAUAGGAGUUCCCUGGUGGCUCAGCAGAUUAAGGAUCUUGUGCUGUCACUACUGUGGCGUGGGUUUGAUCCCUAGCCAGGGAACUUCUCCAUGACCCUCAUGCAGGCAAAAAAUAAAAAUAAAAAA